rnacentral:rRNA from 1 species
ACGCUUGAAGUCAGUCGCGUCGGCUUGAAAUCAACCUUGCUUUUGCCUGGUGUACUUUCUUGUUGAUGGGUCAGCAUCAAUUUUGACCGUUGGAUAAAGUCAUUGGGAAUGUGGCAUCUUAGGAUGUGUUAUAGCCCAUUGUCGCAUACAGCGGUUGGGAUUGAGGAACUCAGCACGCCCGCAAGGGACAGGUUUCGACCAUGUUCGUGCUUAGGAUGCUGGCAUAAUGGCUUUAAUCGACCCGUCUUGAAACACGGACCAAGGAGUC